rnacentral:misc_RNA from 1 species
GUGAAUCAUCGAAUUUUUGAACGCAAAUUGCACUCUCUUCGGAGAGUAUGCCUGUUUGAGGGUCAGCCUAAAAAAAAUCGACGUAGUCGCUGUUUCGCGGUGACAUUCGUCGGAAAUUGGGUCAUCUUAAACCUUUGGGUUUUUUAACGGCUUAAAAUUUCUUUUCCAUUCCACGAACCAGUUUUAGC